GUAGUGGCGGAGUGGUAACGCUCACGACUUUGGUUCGUCAGGUCGUGGGUUCGCGGCCCUCCAUGGUCU